rnacentral:rRNA from 14 species
CGACUUGGUCUAUCUAGCAAGCUUAAGCCGUUAGGUGUAGGCGCAGCGAAAGCGAGUCUUAAUAGGGCGCAUGAGUUAGAUGGAUCAGACCCGAAACCGAGUGAUCUAGGCAUGACCAGGCUGAAGGUACGGUAACACGUACUGGAGGGCCGAACCCACACCUGUUGAAAAAGGUCGGGAUGAGUUGUGCCUAGGGGUGAAAGGCCAAUCAAACUCGGAGAUAGCUGGUUCUCUGCGAAAUCUAUUUAGG